GGAAGGGUACUUAGCCAACGGUUCUUCGUGAACUGAGGAAAGUCCGCCCACUGAUGAUGACGCGGUCUUAAACGAUCGUGUAAUCGGAAACAGCCACUCACGGAAGUGAGCUCCAGUAAUGGGGAGCAACCGCACAGAAACGAGACCACCCGCGUUUAUGGAAUGACGCAGCGAACCUCUUGGUGACAGGAGCGAGUUAAUCUGCAGACGUCGCGCAGGGUUUGGAUGAAACGGCGAGCCUUGGCUUGUGCAAGCCUAAACGGCGCUCAGUAGAAUGCUAAGACGGGCUGUCGGCAUUUCCUAAUGCCAUAGCGGGCCUGACAAAAGGCGGCUUAUUCCCUUCC
rnacentral:RNase_P_RNA from 1 species